ensembl:lncRNA
AUGAGAAGACCACAUGUACAUUUUCUCUCUUUCACACACACAUAUUACUCCGGAUUUCAACUGUAACUUUCAUUUUUUAUUUUCUUUAUGUGAUCAUGUGUCCAACAAGAUUCAGAUAAUUAACAUGCAUAACCUACAUGUUCUCCGUUGCAGACGCAGAGCAAGUGAAUGCAGAAACAAAGCGAGAUAAAAGCUCACGAAAAAUCCACAGGUCACCAUCUCGCUCAACUCAAAGCAAAAGUUCAAUAUCCCAGAGAAACAGUGCAACUGUCCCAGACACGUGAAUACUGCCAUCUGAUGAAAGACCUCAUUUAGGAGGCAAGACCUUUGCAGUUUCCUGUUGAUAGUGGAUCACAGCUGGAGGUCAAAGGUCAUCAGUAUGUACUGAUGGAGAAGAUCAGCGUGGAUUUGAAGAUGUGGGGGAGGUGAAAGAGGAGUAUGUUUGGGAGUUCUCACGUGACUUCACUCUACUCGUGUUAAUCAAGUUCAGCUACACACAAGCACACUACGGCCUGGAUCGCAUUGGACACGCAGAUAAUGUAAAGAAUGAAACCAGUAGGGGUGAAGCAGAAGAAAAGAACCAGAUCAAAGAGAGAAUGAAAGUAUGACAGAUUCCUCCUCUUAUGUUUGUCUGUAAAGAGACAUGAUGGACUGUAAAGAGAGAAAGAGAAGAAGGUGGUGGAGGACAUUUUGUGUUUGACAACUUUGUCAGCACUGGAGCUGACAAGAACCUGAUGGACGUGUUCUCCAGCAUGAUUUGAGAUGUCCUCAUGUGCUCAUUGAGCAUCAAUGAAAGCAAGAAUAUCUGGCCAUCUGUUACUCAUUUACUUGUAUUUAAUCUGUGAAUUAUAAAUAGUGCAGAAUCUUCUUUUACAUCAUAACUUGUAUUGUUUUAAAUGUAAAAAAUGUUGUUUUCUAUAUGGUCUCAGGAUUUUGG